GCUCUCCUGGGCGCAGCUUGAUACGACCACCUAGGUCGAACCCUGAAAAGUUGGGGCAAUUAUGGACACUACAUUCAAGAUCAUUCAAGCUUGAUACAGCUCUGGAUUUUGAUUGUGAUUAAGGGCGUAUUUGUUACAGAAAAAACUGGUUUUUAUUAGUUUUAGGUUUUGGUUUAAAACUGGUUUUGAUUGGUUUUGGUUUAGGUUUCAAAAUUUGUUUGGGUUAAUAUAUUUUUCAACAAAUGUAAAGUUUAUCUGAAAUUUAAAUGAUGUCAAAACUACUUGGGCCUGUUUUAUUGGUCUCUUCUACACAUUUCCAGGAUGUCUUUUAGUGAAGAAUCCCCCACAAAAAGAAUCUGGACCUCUUCUGGAGAUAUUCUACGGAAGAUCAAUGAAUACAAAUUCAAUUUGCCUUCAAAUACAGCAGAUUUUUAUUAUGUUUGAUGACAUAAAUUAAGUUUUCAAUAAUUGUUUAGAAAAUUAAGAUACGUCCAGUAGAGAACCAGGAUUAACCCCCACUAUAUGUUUUUUAAGAAUAAUCUUAAACUGCACAAGAAAUUGUCAAUGUUUGUCUAGUAUAUAUACAGGAAAAAAAUUCUGAGACAAGUGCCUGUGAAUAUGACUGAUCAAAAAGGACAUCUUAGUCAAUCCACAUUUUUUUUUUAAAGUAACCGAAGUGGACUUUUUUUGUGAUAAAACAAAGAUAUCAGAAAGUUCUCAAAAUCCUUUUUCUCUGGUGGUCCUAGAAAAAAAUCUUCUGGUCCUAACUAUUUUUUCUAAUGCAAAAUUUUGAU
rnacentral:lncRNA from 1 species